UACGUAGGGACCAAGCGUUGUUCGGAUUUACUGGGCGUAAAGGGCGCGUAGGCGGCGUGGUAAGUCACUUGUGAAAUCUCUGAGCUUAACUCAGAAACGGCCAAGUGAUACUGCUGUGCUAGAGUGCAGAAGGGGCAAUCGGAAUUCUUGGUGUAGCGGUGAAAUGCGCAGAUAUCAGGAAGAACACCCCGUGGCGAAGGCGGGCUCUCUGGAAACGCAAACUGACGCUGAGACGCGAAAAAGCGUGGGGG
rnacentral:rRNA from 1 species